CAGUAGCCGCGGUAAUACGAAGGGGGCUAGCGUUGUUCGGAUUUACUGGGCGUAAAGGGCGCGUAGGCGGGCUGAUAAGUCGGGGGUGAAAUCCCAAGGCUCAACCUUGGAACUGCCUUUGAUACUGUUGGUCUUGAGUCCGGGAGAGGUGAGUGGAACUGCGAGUGUAGAGGUGAAAUUCGUAGAUAUUCGCAAGAACACCAGUGGCGAAGGCGGCUCACUGGCCCGGAACUGACGCUGAGGCGCGAAAGCGUGGGGAGCAAACAGGAUUAGAUACCCCAGUAGUCCCUGUCUCUUAUAC
rnacentral:rRNA from 1 species